GAAACACCUAUAAUUUGGCUCCCUAUUCCUCAAUUCUUCUGAAAGCCAAGUUAGAAAACUAACUUCUUGGAUACGAACUCUAUAAUAAAUCAAACCAUUAGGCAGAUGAAUCAAGUUCUGUACAAGAUGACCAUUGAAAUAUUAUGGAAGAAAUAAAUUAUACAAUCUAAUGGAGGGCGUGUAGAGCUAACCUUAACAUGGAAUUCAG
rnacentral:misc_RNA from 1 species